rnacentral:rRNA from 1 species
GACGAACGCUGGCGGCGUGCUUAACACAUGCAAGUCGAACGAUGAAGCCUAGCUUGCUAGGUGGAUUAGUGGCGAACGGGUGAGUAAUACGUGAGUAACCUACCUUUAACUCUGGGAUAAGCCCGGGAAACUGGGUCUAAUACCGGAUACGACCAAUCUCCGCAUGGGGUGUUGGUGGAAAGCGUUAUGUAGUGGUUAUAGAUGGGCUCACGGCCUAUCAGCUUGUUGGUGAGGUAACGGCUCACCAAGGCGACGACGGGUAGCCGGUCUGAGAGGGUGACCGGCCACACUGGGACUGAGACACGGCCCAGACUCCUACGGGAGGCAGCAGUGGGGAAUAUUGCACAAUGGGCGCAAGCCUGAUGCAGCGACGCCGCGUGAGGGAUGACGGCCUUCGGGUUGUAAACCUCUGUUAGCAGGGAAGAAGAGAGAUUGACGGUACCUGCAGAGAAAGCGCCGGCUAACUACGUG